AUUUUGAUUAUUUGUUCCAUAAUUAUUAAAAUUUGAACAUUUUUGUUGUUAGCGCAAGAUUCAAUCCUUGCUUUGGGGAAAAAUUAAAGCUAUACGUAAUUUCACUGAUCGUUUUUGGAAAGAAACAUGGAAAUUAAAAGGUGAGCUUUUUUUUUAGUUGCUGCUUCUCUAUUGAUGAGUUCCUAGCGUUAUGUGGAAUCUAGAAACUUUGUGAUUUUGUUUAUAAUCUAUGCUUACUCUUUUCUCAUGUUUACGCUUCUAGAUGAUAAACAACGAACACGUUGGAAUAAGUCCUACAACAUCUUGUUUGGGAUGGAGCCAGGAAGUUCUGAGAUGAAUCUAUCUUAUAUGCCCAACUACAAAGGACUUUGUUGAUUUCAUGUUUGAAAAGCAAAAGCCUAUCCAAUUCUUCACUCCAACGGUUAAUUUUAACCACAUUCGCGGUUCUACUAUAUAUCCUUAAUGAAAUGUAGAUUCUAGGACCUUAAAAUUGUUUUUCCUCUGUGGCAGAGAACUUUUUCUACAUCGAUGCCCAUGAAAGUCUCUUGACUUCUUGCCUCCUACUAUUUUAUGCAUCCUAAAGCGAAUCUCGAUAAGGUUGUAAUCUCUAUUAUAUCCAUCCUAAACACCGUUUGUGUAUUCUCCAUGUGUUUGAUUCCUUUUGAAUGUUUUGGUUCCUAGCUGAAACUCCAAUAUGAGGGGUUAGAGCAUUAGUUAUUCAACCUAAAACUCCAUUAUCUCUGACUCAAAGACCUAUCAUUGUCUUUAGUGUGACUCCAAAUUAUGAGGCUUUCUCUCUACCUUGCAAGAUCAAACUUGAAAGAAAUCUUGAUAAAAUCCUAACUUCAGGAAAAUUGUGUAUAUACAUAUGUCGUUUAAUCGAUACUCUACAUGUUUGCUUGUUUAACAACGAUAUGUGUGUACGUUUUGUGCAUACUAUUUUCAGCAAAUAGUUUUUUUCAUAGAGAAAUUAAAUUUUAGUAAAUACACGAAUAUUAUAAUUAUGAUCUCACA
rnacentral:sRNA from 1 species